rnacentral:tRNA from 1 species
AAGGGAGACCUAAUUCAGGUAGGAGACGAAAAAAAAGUAGUCCCAACCAAGAAUCAAUCCCAAAAGGUCGGAGCGAGGCGAAAUUGGCUUUCAAACUAGGUUCUGGGUUCACACAAGACCUGAAUCAGGAACAAGGGCUAUUAGCUCAGGUGGUUAGAGCGCACCCCUGAUAAGGGUGAGGUCCCUGGUUCGAGUCCAGGAUGGCCCACCUGCACAGGUGGCAAAAACAAGAGAAGCGAGGAAUCAGCACCUUAUCUUAUCUAUAUAUAUAUAGGAGAGAAUGCUGGCUCUGAGUAAAGAGUCCAGAGGAACCUUGAAAACUGCAUAGGGCUAGGUGAAAAAGCCAAAAAAGAAGACCGCAA